GACAGAGGUCCCGAGCGUUAGGCGGAAUCACUGGGCUUAAAGCGUGUGUAGGCGGAUUGGUAAGUACCUCGUGAAAUCCCACGGCUCAACCGUGGAACUGCUUGGUAUACUGCUUAUCUUGGGCCACUUAGGGGUUACCGGAACAAACGGUGGAGCGGUGAAAUGCGUAGAUAUCGUUUGGAACGCCAAUGGUGAAAACAGGUAACUGGGAGUGUGCCGACGCUGAGACACGAAAGCCAGGGGAGCGAACGGG
rnacentral:rRNA from 1 species